rnacentral:rRNA from 2 species
ACCCCAGGUCAGGCGGGACUACCCGCU